rnacentral:ncRNA from 1 species
AUAAAGUUUUAUUUUGGCUUAAAAAUUUAUUAUUUAUUUAUUUUAUAUGUAAGUUUUUGCAUGAGUUUUUAUCUAUUUUAAUAGUGGAUUUUAUUAUUUUAAUUUGCAGUAAUUAAUAUUAUAAUUUAAGGAAAUUUAGAUUUAGUAAUUUAAUUAAUAUUGACUAAAUUUAUGCCAGCAGUCGCGGUUAUAUAAAUAAUAUAAGUGAAUUUUUUUAAUAAAAGUUAAACUUUUAAUUUUAAAUUAAAAUUAAUAUUUUUAGGUAAAAUUUUAAUAUUAUUUAUAUUUAUAUUUUAUUAGUUGAUUCUUGUAAAUUUCUUUAUAAAAACUAGGAUUAGAUACCCUAUUAUUAGAAAUUUAAUUAAAAAUAUUUAAGUAGUAUUAGUUAAGAUCUUGAAAUUUAAAAAAUUUGGCGGUAUUUUAGUCUAUUCAGAGGAACCUGUUUUUUAAUCGAUAGUCCACGAUGUAUCUUACUUAGAUUUGUUUUAAUAGUUUAUAUAUCGUCGUUUAUUGAAUAUUUUAUAAAAAUAAUAAUUUUCUUAAUUUUUUAUAUAAAAAUAUAUCAGAUCAAUAUGUAGCUUAUGUUUAAGUUUAUAAUGGGUUACAAUUAUUUUAUUAGUGGAUUUAAAUAUGAAAAUUAUUUAUUGAAAUUGGAUUUGAUAGUAAAUUUAUAAAGAUUAAUAAAUUGAUUACAGCACUAAAAUAUGCACAUAUCGCCCGUCACUCUUAUUAUUAAUUUAAAGUAAGAUAAGUCGUAACAUAGUAGAUGUACUGGAAAGUGUAUCUAGAAUGAC